UUAUUUUGUGCAUAUUAUACAAAUAUUUUGGCUAGAUUUAUUUAUUUUUUAAUAAUGUGGAGCUCAUCUGAUCACUUGAUGAGCAAUAGUUCAUAUUGAAUUUUUUUUUCUUAUAUCACUCCACAGUUUUUCUUCUCACAAAAUGCAAUCAUUCUCAUCAGUUAUGUCCUGCAUUCAUGCAGUACGUGAGCUUAUGUUGUGAUAAUGUCUCUGUGUUUGUCAUUACAGACAGGAGCCGAGCAGGACUGGACUCUGUUUAGUCUGACCGUGAUUAUCUCAAGGCCGUGUUCCUGUCAGGCCUUCUUCAGCUGCUGAAAACAUGUUUUUGAAGCCUCAGUCAUUGUGAGAUGUUUGUUCAGUGAAAUGUGCUUGAUUGGAGGUUGUCAGGUGCAUUUACACCCACAGAUCCUCAGCGUUGCAGGACCGUCCUGAUGCUGCUGGAGCGCAUUUGGACUAAAAGCUUUUAAAGAUUCAUCGGCGCUGAGCAUCAAACAUUCAUUAGGCUUCAUCAAGCGUUCACUUCACCUUUACUCAUUCAUGUGCUGAGGAUCAGAGCCAACAAUAACAGAUAAACAAAAGAAAAAUCAUCCGUUUCUCAAGCAGAAAUGUUACUAAAGUCAAUAAAGUAACAUUCAGAGUCGCACGUGUUACUGUGUAACAGUUCUAGGAAUGUACAGAUGCUACUUUUGUAUCACGUGGUUGCAACAUCUGAAGUGUUACAGUCAGAGUUUUCAUCAGUGUGUUUCAUUUAUAUUCUGAGUAUAUACGCAUGCUGUCUGUAUGUAUAACAAGAGAGACCGGGGCUAGUUGUCACACUUUUCUUCCACAAUUAUUAUUUCUGUAUUGACACAAAACAUUAACAUACACAAUUGCUAAUAUUCCCAUCAUUACAUUCCAGGAAAACAGGAUGCAGUUCAUUAAAGACGUGUUGAACAGCACAGAGGGGCAUGCUGACUAUACGGGGCUGCAAAGUAGGAGAGUUUUACUUUCAUAUCCGGAUGUGUUUGGAGCGUCAGGAGUCACAGACGGAGAUGAAGAGUCCCGGGACUCGCCAAACAACAGCCAAUCAGCAUCAGCCGUGGGAGGCUGACAGAACGGGGCCACGGCUGUGUGUGUGUGUGUGUGAGAGAGAGAGAGAGAGAGAGAGAGAGAGGAGUGUGUGAGAGAGAUUAAAAGUGUGUGUGUGUGUGUGUGUGUGUGUGAGAGAGAGAGAGAGAGAGAGAGAGAGAGUGUUUGAGAGAGAUUAAAAGUGUGUGUGUGUGUGUGUGUGUGUGUGUGUGUCUGUGUGAGAGAGAGAGAGAGCGAGAGAGAGAGAGAGAGUGUGUGUGUGAGUAUAAGAAAGAGAGUAAAAGAGUGUGUGUGUGUGUGUGUGUGUGUGUGUGUGUGUGUGUGUGAGAGAGAGAGAGAGAGAGAGAGAGAAAGUAAAAGAGUGAGUGAGUGAGUGAGGGAGUGAGUGAGAGAGAGAGAGAGAGAGUCACAAGGGACCGCAUUAACAGUACAUCAGUGAUUUAUGUUUCUGACAGGUUUCCUGACAUUCAACCAAAUCACAAGAAAGUUGGAAUUAUGUUUUACUUGAAGAAAAAUAAUCCUAUUUUUAGGACCAUUAAGAAUAUAUAUAUAUAUUUUUUACUGAGACAAAUUGUAACUUAGAUUUUAGCAAACUUUCAUAUAUAUAUAUAUAUAUAUAUAUUUGAAAAUAUUGAGAAAGAUUAAUAAAUAUCUUAAUAUUUUCAUAAUUUUUACGCAAAUUCCAUAUCGAAAAAAAUCUAUAAAAAUACAAUUAAGAGA
ensembl:lncRNA